GUAGAUCAGACAGUUGCGGGCAGAAGCCGAAAGGCUCUGUACGAGGAAAGUCCGAGCAUCGCAGAGCAGGAUGCCGGGUAACUCCCGGUGGAGGCGACUCUAAGGAAAGUGCAACAGAAAGAUAUACCGCCGCAUUUGCGGUAAGGGUGAAAAGGCGAGGUAAGAGCUCACCGGUGUGCGGGAGACCGCACAGCCGUGUAAACCCCAUCCGAUGCAACACCGUAUACAGAAGGUCAAGCUUGCUCGGCGUCUUCUAAAGGUGGCUUGAGGUGUGCAGAAAUGCACAUCGUAGAUAGAUAACUGUCUAAUACAGAACUCGGCUUACAGAUUUACUCU
rnacentral:RNase_P_RNA from 1 species